GGAGACUCUAAGACUUCUGAAGAGUUUCUUGCUUCUUUCCUGUGGGGCAGUGACUCCACUUCCCAGCAGUAAUGGAAUAUCCUGAAUUAGCUACAUUAAUGUUAGAACCAUUUGGACCUCACCCAGGACUUCAACUACAUUAUGGUUAAGACAGAGAAUCUGAAGACUGCAUACCUGACCUCUCGUUUUUACCUACCCACCCACCCACACCCAAAUAUUUCUACUGGACUAUAAUUUAUUGUGACGCCCCCAUUUCCACUGCAGGAUGUUAUAAGAAAUGAGACUCACUACUGAAUUCACAGCAGGCAUGGUUGAAGGCACCAUUCACUAUAGCUUGCAGUGUUCCCUUUAUGAGAUUUGUAUGAGAAAUUCCUCUCAUAGGUCAAGUUCUUGGGAGAAAAUUCUCCCAAAGAGCAAGUCCCAGGAAAAUCUUGGCUGCUAAAGUUACAGAACCCAAAUUUGGCAACUGUCUGCAUCUGAACAACAGAAGUUUCAACAUUCUGCCAACAGAGUAACUCCUGGACGAUUGGCACAGAAGAAGGCACAAGGCAAAUACCCAUCUCUGUACACCCUGUGCUACUGUGUCAUGUGCUGCUCCAGGCAACUCCAAUGGAUUGGCCACCCUGGCCAAUGUGCCCUCCAAACACCAGCACUGAGUAGAAAGAGGCUCUGAUUCAUGAAAUGUGAAUUUAUGACAGUUGCCACUCUUAAAAAAAAAAACAAACAGACAGAACUUGAGCAAUACAUGACUGAUGCAUUCUCAGCCUGCUUCCUGUGUUCCAUCUGUCUUUCU
rnacentral:lncRNA from 10 species